rnacentral:rRNA from 1 species
GAUGAACGCUGGCGGCGUGCCUAAUACAUGCAAGUCGAACGCAUAGCGAAAGGUGCUUGCACCUUUCAAGUGAGUGGCGAACGGGUGAGUAACACGUGGACAACCUGCCUCAAGGCUGGGGAUAACAUUUGGAAACAGAUGCUAAUACCGAAUAAAACUUAGUGUCGCAUGACCCAAAGUUAAAAGGCGCUUCGGUGUCACCUAGAGAUGGAUCCGCGGUGCAUUAGUUAGUUGGUGGGGUAAAGGCCUACCAAGACAAUGAUGCAUAGCCGAGUUGAGAGGCUGAUCGGCCACAUUGGAACUGAGACACGGCCCAAACUCCUACGGGAGGCUGCAGUAGGGAAUCUUCCACAAUGGGCGAAAGCCUGAUGGAGCAACGCCGCGUGUGUGAUGAAGGCUUUCGGGUCGUAAAGCACUGUUGUAUGGGAAGAACAGCUAGAAUAGGAAGUGAUUUUAGUUUGACGGUACCAAACCAGAAAGGGACGGCUAAAUACGUG